rnacentral:rRNA from 1 species
CUUCCGCCGGCGACCGGCGCACGGGUGAGUAACACGUAUGCAACCUGCCCCUGUCAGGGGGACAACCCGCCGAAAGGCGGGCUAAACCCGCGUACAUGCCACCGGGGCAUCCCGGAGGCAGGAAAGGCUUCGGCCGGACAGGGAUGGGCAUGCGGCGCAUUAGGCAGUAGGCGGGGUAACGGCCCACCUAACCGACGAUGCGUGGGGGUUCUGAGAGGAAGGUCCCCCACACUGGUACUGAGACACGGACCAGACUCCUACGGAAGGCAGCAG